AGGUGAGGUAGAGGCGCGGGUCAUCAAGAGUAACAUGCCAGAGGUGUUAAGGGCCGAUGAAGGUGUGUGAAAGGGGUGCCCGCCGAAGCGCGUAAACUUCCUUAAGGUUUACGCAGCUGGGCCUAUGCCGAACAGGUAUAGGACUGUCACUGAAGGCUCCCCAGGCCUUCAGUGGAGAGCUAUCUCGCUA
rnacentral:ncRNA from 2 species